CAUAUGUGCAUUUUGCCCAUCAUGUAACAUGUGAAAGAAGUUAAGAAGUAGAGCUAGCAUUAUGUAAUGAGAAAUUGAGCAUUAGUGUAAUACAUGGAAGAGGGUUUAUUAUCCCUUUUUUAUAAAUGAAUACAAAGAGAGCGAACCAAAGCAAAAAAGGGCCUUCUUCAAUGUUCUUCAGGGACUGAAUAGAAUAGGAAAAAGCUGCAUUUCCUCUCACUUUCACGUACGCCCAUGUCUACAUAUAUACUCUCUACAAUUAAACAGUUCCAUUAAAUUAUCCCGGCCCUGAAAAGCAUAAACAAAGUUAAAUUCAACCAAGUUCAAGUUUGAAGGGUAGUUUACACAAGGAAAUCCCGGUAGAGUACUGUUGGAUAUAGUUGAGCUAACUAAUAAUAACUGUUGAGAAAAGCAAGAGAAAUAUAGCUAAUAAACUUGUGGAAAUACAAAUUUGUAGCAUGAAUGCACCAUAUGUCAAUUUGUAAGAAUAAGAUGGGUGGAAGGCUGGGAGCACCUUACUUACCUUACUUUCGAUAUUGUUUUGACUCCAAGGAAAAAGAGAAAGUUGGUUGACUCGACUCACGUGGAGAUUUCAUUUCAUUUUUUUGGGAAAAUCACGUGCUCUCUUCUCAAGUGACCUCCGGACUUCUCAAAGAUAGUUGUGGGAUGAACUUGAAAUUAAAGGUCCUUAUUGACAUCUCAUGCAUGUUAAUUUCUUUUGGGGCUUACUUUCCUCAUAUAUGAUAAUUAAGUCUCACUUCAUGGUGUUUCCAGCCUUGUAAGUUGGUUGCAAAAACUUCGAAUUAAUUCAAGAGUCGGGUUGACAGUCAAUCGAUCCAAGUCCAAUGCAAUCAAAUUUGACUCGAUUUCCAACUCGGCUCAUUGAAUCAAUUCAACUUGAGAUUCUAUAAGAUCAAAUUAAAAUUAAGUGAGGUUUAAAAUAUCAGUCAACAUAUAGAUUAGUUGGAUUAGAUGAGUAAACAAGUCAUGAUACAAGGAUAGGCAUGCUCGGUUGAACUCAAAAUGUGACAAAAAUUUAAUAAGGUGCAUCUAAUUUGAACUCUUUAAUCCUUCAUUUAAGUUGACCCUUAGAGAGGGAAAAAAGAAAUAAAUGUCAACCCACAAUAAUCACAUGCAAUUUUGAAAAAUAAAAAAUAAAAAGAAAUAAAGGUAGCGAUAUACUGAUGUGAACCAUUUUUCAAGGUCUCCCCACAACUUCCUUUGUUUUGAGAUAGAAAUGGUAGGUUUCAGAUUCCAUUUCCACACUCCCAUCUCCAACCAACUUUCUCCAUCUCUAGAAACACCAUGUUGACAGAAAGUUACUUUCCACAUUCAUCUUACACUGAACAACUUCAAAGUUUGUAUAUUCUGCUACUACAUCAAGUCAUAGAGGUAGGCUUAGGUGGUGUUUAUUUUUUUACUUAAUUCUAAAUAGAACCUUAAUACUUAAUAGUAUUAAAUAUUAGGUUGUUUGUUUUUGUAGUAUUUUAUUUCUAUUAAGUAUUAAAAAGUAAAAAAAACCAUUGUGUUAUUUUUUCUAUUUAGAAAAAAACACAUAUUUUAGCUUUUUCUAUUUAGUAAAAAGUUUAUAAUAAGUUAUGAAAAAGUAAAAAAACAAACAACCUAAAUUCUAAAACUAAAUGAUUUUCAGCAAAAAGUAAAAAAAACAAACACCACUUUAGUCUUUAAUAUUCCUUUGAUUCAAUUUGUGAAUCUAUAUCAUAUAAAUAGUGACAUGUCUUGAAAGUUUAAGGCAAAUUUUUGGAAUUAAACUAACUGCUUGGUAUAAGAAUUUAGACUAAAAAAAUUCCUAAAAAGUGUGAAAAUUAUUCUUUGUUUAUUAAAGUCAUCAUUAAGCUAAGUAUUCAGAAAAAUGAGAGUUUAAUAUGGAGUAUGCAUCCAAAUGGAAGCAUAUAAUAGAAUUAUUAUUUUAAAAUGUAUGAAAAAAAACACAGAAAUUAAACUCGACUAUUUGACAAUGUUUUCAAAACCGGUUUUUGAGAAUAAUUCUUAAAAAUAGAGUUUUCAAUUGUUUUCAAGAACAAAAUUCUAUUUGGAAAUUCAAAUAUGAAAAACUGUUUUUUUUUUUAGCUUAAUUCUUUAUGAAGGUACUUUACACGCUUAUAUACAAAGUAAAAGUUUGUAAAGUAUCAAUUGUUUAAAUUGUUGCUCAACAUGCUCUAAUAAAAGAAGUCUAAAAACAACUUGUUUUCGAAACAAAUUAUAAAAAAGACAAACAAACAAUUUUUUUUAUAUAUAUAUUUUUAUAUAUAUUUUUAUCUAUGUGAUCAUAUUUUUAAAUCUCACACUAAUAAUUUCAUAAAUAAAAAAAAUAAAAAAUAAAAUAAAAACUAAAAGGUUGUGAUAAUUUAUCCUUAAUACUUCACAUUUAUACUAGUGAUAAUUUUUUUUUAUAGCAUUUAAUAAAAGUAGAUAAAUCUAAAUAUGAAACCAAAAAUAAACCAUGUUUAUAGUAAAUAGAAGUAUGAUAAAAAAUUUAAAUUAAAAAUGAACUUUUUAUUAUAAAAAAAAUAUUAUUAUGGUAAUUAUCCUCUUAUCACUAGUUUUUAUGUUGUUUUAUUGCAUAAUUUAACAUAUAUCUACAUGCAUUUGGACAUAGCUGAUUGUAGAGGCACGCAUAAAAACCAUUCAAAACAUCAAGUUUUCCAAUUAAAAUCUAUUUCAUUGUUCAAGGAAUAAGCAUGAACCUCAAACUAGGGAAUAAACAUGCCUCACACCUCUCAAUAUUAACGUGCAUCCUACAAUAUUAGUCUUAAGACACACACCACCAACUAUGCUAAAAUCUUUAGUUCUUUAAUGAAAAAACAAAUCUAAAUAGAAAGUAGCACGGUUGAUGGUAGUAGUGUCCACAAUCCAUUCCUCCCUGGUCACCUACAUGCAUAUGCUUAUCAACUAAAAAGAGAGCCUCGAUAUGUAGCACUUAGAUUUUUGUUACCAUCCUUAUGUAUUAGGAUAUACUUAGUUGGAAUUUUUUGUUUAAUCUUAAGGGUUGGCUUAAUUUUGGGUAGAUCGAUGUUGGAUAUAUAAUUUUAUUUUGUAAACUAUUGAGAUGUAUAUGCCAUUUUCUUUUUCUUUUUUUCCUUUUUUUUUUUUGGUUAUGGUUCGAUGGUAUGUACAUGUUGAUUUUGAAGUAUUGAGUUUUGGUUUAUUAUUUGAUCAUGAAUGUGGUGACUUUGGAUUGAGUUAGAUUUGAAUAGAUUGCUUAUUUGUAUUGAGGUUGAUUUGUUAUAUAUGGUAUUGAGGUUGAUUUUUAUAUUAAGGAAAUUAGGGUGAAUGCCAUGAUGUAUGGUAGAGAUGCAUGGUCCUUCCUACAACUAGUUGAAUAUCUUGGAUUACCCAAUGUUGGUUGUGGGAGAUGCAGUCCAAAUAAAUUGAUAAAAGUUUUGUGUUAUGCUAGGGUUAAACUUGUGCCUCUAACAAGAUCCGAUACAAUCUUAUGGUUAAUUAGCUAGCCAAGAUUUUAACUUUAUUUUAUCCUUCAUAACUUUUUUAUUACAUUUCAAGGUUUUCUUCCUCUUUUUUUUUUUUUUUUUCUUUUUUUCGGUUUGAUUUAUGUCCAAAGUCAUAUAAACAGAAACUAAUAACCUAAUAUCAAGUAAAAACUUCACCUUCCCAAAAGGUUACUUAGCUUAAUAAAGAGAAAUACAUUUUUUUCCAAACUUACUUUACCUUUUUCCAAUGAAAAUAGGAUUGAAAAUGUUCUAGUAUUUUCCCUUGUAUUUUUCUUAUUACUUUUUCUUACACAAUUUUUGUUGACAUCUAAACCGAAAAUAAUUUUCCUUACCUUUUUUUUUUCUUGAUACUUUGCAAAAACCUGACAUCACCUAAAAAUUAAUACUAUUUUCUAUUUAAAAAAAUAGAAAGUGUAUAAAAAAUACACCCUAUAUUUUAAAAUUUUUUAUUCUUGGUAUAAAAGAGAAAUAAAAUAGAAACAGUUUAGUUGAAGAUUUUUAUUUUGUCAUUUUUCUCUUUUUUUUUUUUUUUUUUUUUUUGUCCAAAGAUUCAUGUGUGGGGGGCUUCCCUCCACGUGUCCUUCCCAAACUCAAGACCCUUUGGCUGACCAGGGCAAACAUGUAACACAUCUGGGAUCACUCCGUCUGGACCAAAAUAAGCUUCAUCUGGCAUCAGAAGUGAGAAGCUUUCCUUCUUCCACAAUGCCAAACAAAAUGGACAGACUAAGUCGACUGACCUUUCAAACAAGCUCACAAUGCUAGAUAGAAUGGACAAACCAAGCCGGCUGGACCUUUCAAACGGGCAAAUCAAUUCAGUCAAGUCCUUAGGAUUUCUGGCAUGUGUAGUCAACCACACCUGACGUCUGAGUGCCGGCCUAGACACCUGAUGUCUGAGCAUCGAACUAGACACCUAAUGUCUGAGCGACAGCCUAGACACGUGAUGUCUAAGCGGCGGACUAGACACCAUUUACACCCAAAAGUCAAUGUCAAAUAAUUGUUACACACAAUCUCAGACAUUGGAAAGGUAAAUGGACAAUCAGAUAGACGAUAUGAGAUUUUGACACAACAGUCAGCAAAUGGCACCAGUCAGCAGCCCUUGCUUGAUGUGAUUGCCCAAUCCACGUAACAAUGACAACAUUGACAGUCCUCACAAUCAUCAUUACAAGAAAGGUUAGAAUGCAUAACCAGCGCUAUAAUGACGAUGUCAUCAGCUCUAUAUAAACCCCUCAAGAAGUACAAACAAGGUACACACACUCAUUCUCUCCCACAAAAAUAGUUAUAGUUAUCCUAAUUUGACUUAAGUUUUGGAGGGGCGUGCUUGGACCACCUGUCCGGACAUCCUUCUAUGCGGGGAAAAAGUUCGUCUGACUCCAGUGAAGCUAGAAGGACUCCUCAAGAAGCACGAAUAAGGGAAGAAAUCCGUCUGACUCCAAUGAAGCUGAACGGACCUGAAUCUAGUUGGCUUAACACCAACACCGUGGUUAUUUCCAAUAAAGCAAAAAAGACAGUGUUAGAUAAAUUUCUUAAGUGUAAGUGAAUAAAAACAAUUUCAUGUGGACCAUUUGACAACUACACAUUAAUUGCACCCCUCUUGCAUCUGAUGCAUGUAGGGAUUGAAUACGUACAAUCCCCUCCUAGCUAACUAAUCUAGUCAAUAAUUUGAUAUUUCUUUAUGAUUGAUUCAAUAAUGUAAAGAAAUAUUUUUAGAAUGUGGGGCUUAGCUUUGUGAACCUUGUCGAGCUUUAUCAUAACAAACUUGGCUUUACCGCCAACCACGAAGAGGAUAACGAAAACUAUGUUUAUGGUUAAUAUAAAACUAUACAUGCAUUCUACUACAUAGUUGAUUGAUAUUGAUGUACAUAGGACGUACUUUGGCUUUGGUCUUUAGCUUACCACAAUGGCAACAACUGAAAAUGAUCACCUAUGUUCUUCCAUAAAUUUGCUUUUUUUUUUUUUCUUCUUCUUUUGGUUUUGUCACCAAGAACUACCAAUGUUAGCUCCAUUGUCACGACUCUACUAGGUUUUCCCGAAGAGCUUUCUUUCUAUCUUGAGACUGGGUAACUAUUUUCCAUGGCUUCUUGUUGAAUCUUGUGAAAUUUUUCUUGGGAAAGUUGGGUUGCUUUCAUGGAUGGAACUUAGGAAACUGUUUGAUGGUGGUUGAGUUUUGUAUGCAGAUAUGUGGGUGUGGGUAAAAAUGAGGAAGUGCAACUAUUGUACUUAUUUUUUAGGUUAGAGAGGAACCCUAGUGUCAACCCUCUUAUGUUUUGGCUCACGGGAGGCCCGAGUUGCUCUACUUUCUCUUCAUUCUUUUAUUCAAAUGGUAGUGUCAUGCCCCAAAUUCUGGGCAACCCAAAACUCGACUCGUGACCCCAGGUCAAGGGUUUGACCCUAAGGGUUACUCUUAUCCACGCUGGCAAUCAAUUAAAACAUCUUGGAUUUUUUUUUUCUUUUUCAGUAAAGUGUCUAAUCCUAAAUAAAUUUAUUAAACUAAGAUUUACUGUAACAUAUUAUUUUACUUUUCCAAAACCAACCAUCACAUUAUCUCAUGUUCACAAGUAUAAUAAAUCCACCAGUCAUCUUCUUGCCCAAAAGCUCAAAUAUUUACAAUAAUCUCAAAGUCAAAAAGAAUAUUUUCAAAAAUGUUUUACAACCUAACAAAAUAUAAUUUAACAUACAAAAGCCCAUAUAACUCAAAUUGGUACAUGUAAAAAAAGGUAAUAUAAAUUUAAAAAUAACUAUUAUUAUGGUUCUUUUGCUUUCUGAACUAGUUCCUAAACUUUCUGUGGUCCCUUUGAAAUUAUAUCUGCAUCUAAAAAUUUUAGAAAAUAAAGCGGCAAACAUUUCCACAUUGCUCAAUAAGGUGUGUUACACCCAAAUAGGUUAGAAAUUCUAGAUCAAUAACACAACUAUAUGUCAAAAUAUAAUAUUACAUUUAUAAUAUACAAACUAAAAGAAACCCCAACCAUACAAAUUUAAAACAAUCAAAAUUAUCAUUUUCCUUAUUCAAUCAUACGUUUAAUAUAUCGACAAUUCUAGAUUUACAAAAUAAACAAGUCAUUUUAGUCUUAAAUAAUAUAUUCAAACAUAAACUUGGUAAAUAAUACAAAUCUUUCUUCCAAAUGCAACCAUGAUACAAAUGCUUACACACAAUCACACAAUGCAUUGUCGUUCUCAGGUUUUCACCGAAUGAUACGCGUUUGUACCCAAAUAUACUCCCCAUUCGGAGUCUUCUCGGGGUAAACUUUUGGCCUUUCACCCUAGGGAUCUCACUCCCUUCUUAAUUCACCAUCUUUAAGGUCAUUUCAUUUCAUUUAUUUUUUUCUUUUUUUUCAUUUUUGCCCUCUUCGGAGUCUUUUCAUUCUCAUUUCCAUUUCAUACAACCAUUUCUUUAAUAUUUCUUUUUCUUCACACAACCAUGAUGUAUAUGAAGUGCAAUCACAUCAUAUUUUAACAUCCAAAAAUUUUCAAGAUAUAAUUCUAUUUACUCUCAUUAUGUUUCAUAAUUUCCAAUAAUCCACACAACGAUUUUUCUUCACUUUAAUCACCACAAACAUCAAAGAAAAUUCACAAUUAAUUGUAUAGCAUCAACACAUAGUUUUAAACCUUAGCCAUAAAAAAAAAAUAAAAAAAAUAAAAAUAAAAAUUCCUGACAUAAUAAUUUCCAACUACCCACAUAACCAUUUUUUUCUUCAAUUAAAUAACCACACAUAUCCAAGAAAAUUCUAACUAAUACAAAUAUCAACAAAAAUGCAAUUUAUGUCAUAAUUUAUUUAUCUCCAAUAAUCUCAAUAAUAUUAAUACCCAAUACAACAAUUUUCCACAAUUACACCACCACAACAUUUGGGAAAUAUUUUUACAAUAAUUCAAAUAUUAACAAAAACCCAAUUUAUAUCAUCGAUUUAUUUAUUUCUAAUAAUAUUAAUAAUUUUAAAACAAUCAUUUUAAACAUAUUUCAAUACUCAAAAUUUUCCACAAAUAAUUUCCAUUAUUUUCAAUACUAAUAUAUCACCAAUAAAUUUAUAUAAUUUCUAACAUAACAACAAUCAUUAAAAUAUAUUAACCAAUAUUCCAAUAAAAAGAAUUUUCACAACCACAACAAUCCAGUAAAUCCUAUCACAGGAACAAGAAUUAAAAUACCAACAAUUAUAAUAUUUUUAUCUUGCAUUAAACUUUCAUUCACUUCCCAUUUAACAUUUUCUAAGCGAAACCAAAUCAUUUUACAUGUUUAGGGUUUCUAAAAAUAACUUAAAUGAAAACUAUAUGACGAUCUACAACAACCCAACAACUCAUCCAUUUCCAUGGAGUUUUUUGAAAGUAAAUAAAAGCAAAGCGAAAAACCCAAAAAAAGUCGAGAGAGAAAUUUAGGAAAAAUACACCCCUACCUGCACAGUAAAAUCCAAUCGUGGGAUUGAAAACCCAACUCCGUAGAAGUGUUCACCACAUUGAAGACUAUCGCCGUCUAAAAUUUCAUCACGAUCGAAGGUCGUUUCACCAUCAGAUCGAUGGAAACACGCGUCGGAAAACUUCCUUGCAUCUCCUUUGUGCUGCCUCCCCAUUCCUUUCUUUCUUUUCCUUUUCUUUUGCCUCUCGACACGCAACAACCCAC
rnacentral:lncRNA from 1 species